UGGGGAAUUUUGGACAAUGGGCGAAAGCCUGAUCCAGCAAUGCCGCGUGUGUGAAGAAGGCCUUCGGGUUGUAAAGCACUUUUGUCCGGAAAGAAAUCCUUGGCUCUAAUACAGUCGGGGGAUGACGGUACCGGAAGAAUAAGCACCGGCUAACUACGUGCCAGCAGCCGCGGUAAUACGUAGGGUGCAAGCGUUAAUCGGAAUUACUGGGCGUAAAGCGUGCGCAGGCGGUUUGCUAAGACCGAUGUGAAAUCCCCGGGCUCAACCUGGGAACUGCAUUGGUGACUGGCAGGCUAGAGUAUGGCAGAGGGGGGUAGAAUUCCACGUGUAGCAGUGAAAUGCGUAGAGAUGUGGAGGAAUACCGAUGGCGAAGGCAGCCCCCUGGGCCAGUACUGACGCUCAUGCACGAAAGCGUGGGGGAGCAAACAGGAUUAGAUACCCCUGGUAGUCCACGCCCUAAACGAUGUCAACUAGUUGUUGGGGAUUCAUUUCCUUAGUAACGUAGCUAACGCGUGAAGUUGACCGCCUGGGGGGUACGGUCGCAAGAUU
rnacentral:rRNA from 1 species